UACGUAGGGUGCAAGCGUUGUCCGGAAUUAUUGGGCGUAAAGAGCUCGUAGGCGGACUGUUGCGUCCGCUGUGAAAAGCUGGGGCUUAACCCUGGCCUUGCAGUGGAUACGGGCAGACUAGAGGUAGGUAGGGGAGAAUGGAAUUCCCGGUGUAGCGGUGAAAUGCGCAGAUAUCGGGAGGAACACCGGUGGCGAAGGCGGUUCUCUGGGCCUUACCUGACGCUGAGGAGCGAAAGCGUGGGGAGCGAACAGG
rnacentral:rRNA from 1 species